rnacentral:rRNA from 1 species
GACGAACGCUGGCGGCGCGCUUAACACAUGCAAGUCGAGCGAAGCGGCGGACGGGUGAGUAACACGUGAGUAACCUGCCUUAGAAAUUGGGAUAGACUCGGGAAACCGGGAUUAAUACCAAAUGGUCUAAGAUGGACUCGCGUCCCAUUAGCUCGUUGGUGAGGUAACGGCCCACCCAGGCGACGAUGGGUAGACCGCCUGAGAGGGGGAACGGCCACAUUGUAACUGAGAAACGGUCCAAACUCGACGGGAGGCAGCAGUGGGGAAUAUUGCACAAUGGAGGGAACUCUGAUGCAGCGACGCCGCGUGAACUAAGAAGGCUUUCGAGUCGUAAAGUUCUUUUAUAUGGGAAGCGGUACCAUAAGAAAAAGCCCCGGAUAACUAAGUGACAGCAGCCGCGGUAAUUC